rnacentral:tRNA from 1 species
ACACUGAUGGUUCAAUGGUAGAAUUCCCGCCUACCAUGUGGGAGACCCAGGUUUGAUUCCUGGCCAAUGCA